rnacentral:rRNA from 1 species
AGAGUUUGAUCAUGGCUCAGGAUGAACGCUAGUAGUAUGCUUAACACAUGCAAGUCGAACGGAAAUUUUUUUCGUGGCGAACGGGUGAGGAAUUAUGCAGAAUGCUACCUUUUAGCUUAGAAUAAAAAUGUUUAUAAUAUAAGCAUUUAAAUACUAAAUAAUAAAUAAAGGUUAUUUUUAUUAAAAAUUUCCGUUAAAAGAUGGGUCUGUGUAAGAUUAGGUAGUUGGUAAAUUUAACAGCUUACCAAGCCUUUGAUCUUUAGUUGGUCUUAGAGGAUGAUCAACCACACUGGAACUGAAAUAAGGUCCAGGCCGAAUUUUUGGCCAGCAGUGAGGAAUAUUGGACAAUGAACGCAAGUUUGAUCCAGCAAUACUAUCUGAAUGAAGACGGCUUUUAUUGGUCUUAAAGUUCUUUCGUUAAGAAUGAUAAUGACAUUACUUAAAGAAGUUUUAGUCCCGGCUAAUACUCGUGCCAGCAGCCGCGGUAAUACGGGAGGGGCAAGCGUUAUCCAGCAUAACUGGGCGUAAAGGGUCCGUAGACUGUAAAGUAAGUUACUUGUUAAAUUUUAAAGCCUAACUUUAAGUCAGCUUGUAAUACUGCUUUACUUGAGUUUUAUACAGAAGAGUAGAAUUUUAUACGAAAGGGUAAAAUCUAAAAAUAUAUAAAGGAAUAUCAUUAGCGAAGGCGACUCUUUGGUAAAACUGACGUUGAGGGACGAAAGUGUGGGGAGCAAAUAGGAUUAGAUACCCUAGUAGUCC